AAGUCGAGCGGACGAAUUUUGGUGCUGCACCGAAUUUCGUUAGCGGCGGACGGGUGAGUAACACGUGGGGUAACCUACCUUAUAGAUUGGGAUAACUCCGGGAAACCGGGGCGUAAUACCGAAUAAUACUUUUUAAACACAUGUUUGAAAGUUGAAAGACGGUUUCGGCUGUCACUAUAAGACGGACCCGCGGCGCAUUAGCUAGUUGGUGAGGUAACGGCUCACCAAGGCAACGAUGCGUAGCCGACCUGAGAGGGUGAUCGGCCACACUGGGACUGAGACACGGCCCAGACUCCUACGGGAGGCAGCAGUAGGGAAUCUUCCACAAUGGACGAAAGUCUGAUGGAGCAACGCCGCGUGAAGUGAAGAAGGAUUUCGGUUCGUAAAAACUCUGUUGCAAGGGAAGAACAAGUAGCGUAGUAACUGGCGCUACCUUGACGGUACCUUGUUAGAAAGCCACGGCUAACUACGUGCCAGCAGCAGC
rnacentral:rRNA from 1 species